rnacentral:rRNA from 1 species
CCGUAGCCUGGUAGCGGGGGAUAACUAUUGGAAACGAUAGCUAAUACCACAUAAGAGUAGAUGUUGCAUGACAUUUGCUUAAAAGGUGCAAUUGCAUCACUACCAGAUGGACCUGCGUUGUAUUAGCUAGUUGGUGGGGUAACGGCUCACCAAGGCGACGAUACAUAGCCGACCUGAGAGGGUGAUCGGCCACACUGGGACUGAGACACGGCCCAG